AGAGUUUGAUCAUGGCUCGAGACGAACGCUGGCGGCGUGCUUAACACAUGCAAGUCGAACGGAACCUUCGGGUUUAGUGGCGAACGGGUGAGUAAAGCGCAGGUAAUCUGCCGCAAAGUCGGGGACAACGUCCCGAAAGGGACGCUAAUACCGGAUGUUGUGCGGAGUUCGCAUGGAUUCUGUACUAAAGAUUUAUCGCUUUGCGAGGAGCCUGCGUCCGAUUAGGUAGUUGGUGUGAUAAAAGCGCACCAAGCCGACGAUCGGUAGCCGGUCUGAGAGGAUGAACGGCCACAAUGGAACUGAGACACGGUCCAAACUCC
rnacentral:rRNA from 1 species